UACAGAGGUCUCAAGCGUUGUUCGGAUUCAUUGGGCGUAAAGGGUGCGUAGGUGGUGCUGUAAGUCAGGUGUGAAAUCUCGGGGCUCAACCCCGAAACUGCACUUGAUACUGCAGUGCUCGAGGACUGGAGAGGAGAUUGGAAUUCAUGGUGUAGCAGUGAAAUGCGUAGAUAUCAUGAGGAAGACCAGUGGCGAAGGCGGGUCUCUGGACAGUUCCUGACACUGAGACACGAAGGCCAGGGGAGCAAACGGG
rnacentral:rRNA from 1 species